CCUUUUCUACAGCUUCUUAUCUUUUAUCUUCUUCUCCUUCUUCUUUUUCGUUUAUAUGAUGAUUGUUUGGGUUUUCAGUAACCGAUACUCAGAUUACGGUGAUCAAUUUUUUGCGAGUUUUUGUUGGUAGAUAUUAGUUUCUUCUUUUUUUUCUAUCCGUUUCAUUUAUAUUUUUUAGAAAUGAGCAAAGUUAGAGAGAGAUGUCAAUUGUCAAUAUAAAGUCAAUUAAAUAUAUAUGCUAGAUACGAUCGGUUGAUUGAUAUUGAUAUAUUGACAUUUUGUAGUUGUAUACGAAGUAACGCUAGUUG
rnacentral:lncRNA from 1 species